UACGGAGGGGGCUAGCGUUGUUCGGAAUUACUGGGCGUAAAGCGCACGUAGGCGGCUUUGUAAGUUAGCGGUGAAAGCCCGGGGCUCAACUCCGGAACUGCCUUUAAGACUGCAUCGCUUGAAUCCGGGAGAGGUGAGUGGAAUUCCGAGUGUAGAGGUGAAAUUCGUAGAUAUUCGGAAGAACACCAGUGGCGAAGGCGCUGCUCUGGGCCGGUACUGACGCUGAGGAGCGAAAGCGUGGGUAGCAAACAGG
rnacentral:rRNA from 1 species